rnacentral:rRNA from 1 species
GGUGAACGCUGGCGGUAGACCUAACACAUGCAAGUCGAACGGCAGCACAGUAAGAGCUUGCUCUUACGGGUGGCGAGUGGCGGACGGGUGAGGAAUACAUCGGAAUCUACUUUUUCGUGGGGGAUAACGUAGGGAAACUUACGCUAAUACCGCAUACGACCUACGGGUGAAAGCAGGGGAUCUUCGGACCUUGCGCGACUGAAUGAGCCGAUGUCGGAUUAGCUAGUUGGCGGGGUAAAGGCCCACCAAGGCGACGAUCCGUAGCUGGUCUGAGAGGAUGAUCAGCCACACUGGAACUGAGACACGGUCCAGACUCCUACGGGAGGCAGCAGUGGGGAAUAUUGGACAAUGGGCGCAAGCCUGAUCCAGCCAUACCGCGUGGGUGAAGAAGGCCUUCGGGUUGUAAAGCCCUUUUGUUGGGAAAGAAAAGCAGCAGGUUAAUACCCCGCUGUUCUGACGGUACCCAAAGAAUAAGCACCGGCUAACUUCGUG